rnacentral:rRNA from 1 species
AUUGAACGCUGGCGGCAGGCCUAACACAUGCAAGUCGAGCGGAGCGGCGGACGGGUGAGUAAUGCCAAGGAAUCUGCCUGGUAGUGGGGGAUAACGUCCGGAAACGGGCGCUAAUACCGCAUACUAUCAGAUGAGCCUAGGUCGGAUUAGCUAGUUGGUGGGGUAAAGGCCUACCAAGGCGACGAUCCGUAACUGGUCUGAGAGGAUGAUCAGUUACACUGGAACUUAGGCACGGUCCAGACUCCUACGGGAGGCAGCAGGGGGGAAUAUUGAGCAAUGGGCGAGAGCCUGAGCCAGCGAUGCCGCGUGUGCUAAGAAGGUCUGCGGGUUGUAAAGCACUUUAAGUUGGGAGGCGUUACCAACAGAAUAAGCACCGGCUAACUACGUGCCAGCAGCCGCGGUAAUUC